AUCCCUGUAGCGCAAUGGAUAGCGUGUUGGAUUUCUGAUCCGAAGGUCGUGGGUUCGAAUCCCUCCUGGGAUG
rnacentral:tRNA from 1 species